UUCAGUCCUAACCAGGUGUGUCUCUCCAGGUAUUCCCAGCCAGGUGUAUGGGAGGUGUGUGUUCAGUCCUAACCAGGUGUGUCUCCCCAGGUAUUCCCAGCCAGGUGUGUGUUCAGUCCUAACCAGGUGUGUCUCCCCAGGUAUUCCCAGC